rnacentral:snRNA from 13 species
AGCUUUGCGCAGUGGCAGUAUCGUAGCCAAUGAGGUUUAGCCGAGGCGCAAUUAUUGCUAUUUAUUUGACAGACAGAGAUCACAAGUAGGCAGAGAGAGAGGCAGAGAGAGAGAAGGGAGGAAGCAGGCUCCCUGCUGAGCAGAGAGCCCGAUGUGGGGCUCGAUCCCAGGACC